UUUUAAAAUUGUGUAAAGUGACGAUAUUCAAAUCGUCUUUUAUUUUUAACAUUGUUAAACAUAGUUUAAUUCGCACCGAUGGGCCAUAAUAGGCUUUGCAUUAUAGAAACCCACUUAUAGCUUUUCGAAAAAAGUAACAUAAACCCAUAAUAUCCCUAAUAAAAAUAGUUAUGACCAUGAAUUAAAGAAUUUUUUUGUUCUCUUAAGAAAAACAUAAGUUGAGGAGAUAUAAAUCAAAAUUUAGUCUAAAGGAAGACAUGAAAAUGUCCAAUUUUCCAAAAUUGAAGAUAAGAAAAGGUCGAAAAUGGCUUUUAUAUAUAUCUGGACACCAACAUGCAAUUAGGAGUUGCGGGCCAAAGCGUUACGAAUGACAGUUAAGUUGAUACGACCAUGUCACAGUUUUUUACUAAACAUAUUUGGAUUGUUUAUGAGACAGAUUUUAAUCCCCAUUUGCAAAUGUUUUAUAAAAAAUUAUAAGUUAGGAGUUUUAAAUUACUAUUAUUCUUUUUUUAAAGAAAAUCUUAUGAUGACGUGAGAAGGAUUGAAAUCCAUCAAAUUGGGGAGUAUGAUGAAGGCGAUAAAAAUCGAAAUUUAAGCCAAGACACCAUGGAGAUUGAUGUUGAUGACUAUAUAUUUCCUA